AGAGUUUGAUCAUGGCUCAGGAUGAACGCUGGCGGUCUGCUUAACACAUGCAAGUCGAACGGAAGUAGCAAUACUUUAGUGGCGGACGGGUGAGUAACGCGUGAGAAUCUACCUUCAGGACGGAGACAACAGUUGGAAACGACUGCUAACCCCCGAUGUACCGCAAGGGCAAAUAUUUAUAGCCUGAAGAAGAGCUCGCGUCCGAUUAGCUAGUUGGGGGGGUAAAAGCCCACCAAGGCGACGAUCGGUAGCUGGUCUGAGAGGACGAUCAGCCACACUGGGACUGAGACACGGCCCAGACUCCUACGGGAGGCAGCAGUGGGGAAUUUUCCGCAAUGGGCGCAAGCCUGACGGAGCAAGACCGCGUGGGGGAGGAAGGCUCUUGGGUUGUAAACCCCUUUUCUCUGGGAAGAACAAAAUGACGGUACCAGAGAAUCAGCUCGUAUUCCGCCU
rnacentral:rRNA from 1 species